CCCGCAUCCUCUCGCACCCCGCACGCCUACACCUGCAUCUCCCUGACGGCUUCGCCUCACCGGCGGCAGGCCACCCCGCCGCCCAACUAGCCUCGCCUCGCACCGGAGGCAGGCCAACCCUCCGCCCGACUCGCCUCGCCUCGCACCGGAGGCGGCCAGAGGCAGGCCAACCCUCCGCCCGACUCGCCUCGCCUCGCACCGGAGGCGGCCGGUGGCAGGUCGGAGCCCCCCCGCCACUGCCGCCAUCUACCACCACCAUCCUCGCCGCUCCCUCCCCUCGCCCAGCCAUAUCUAGACGCCUAACCAGGAGAGGAGGAGGGGGGUUGACAAGGAGAGAGCAGUCAGCAGGCGGCGGCGGCUCUGAGUACAGGUAGGCGACGGCGGCAACUGGGUAGCAGCGAGCGGCCGAUUCAUCUCGCCUUCAUCUCCUUGCUAGCUCCAUGUCCUUCGCAGGUUCUAAGAUAUGGCCUCUACUCCUCGACAGCCACACCGAGCGGCCCAUCCAAGAAACCAGCCCUGCCGCCCUACUACUCCCAACCCCCCUGAGUCUCAACCUCACCGCCUAUUCUGGUCGAUGCUGUGAUUGAUAAUAACCAGGAAGAUUUCACUGCUCAGUUCAUCCAUUUGAAUCCUUCUGCUGUAAUUCGGUUCCCUACCCUUUCUUACUUGCAGGAAAUUCAAGUGCAGUACACAUAAAGAUGAUCACAGUGGAGGAGAUCUCGACGGUCGACGUGAAGCCGGGGCGGAAGAAGGGCACGAAUAUCACCUUCCUAGAAGGAACGAUCUGAUUUUUCUGGAGGAUCCAGACAGGGAGGUGCUUCACACCCUGCGUCUAGGCAUGCACUGCAACGCCAACCACAUGGCUAAGAUGGCCGUUGCUAUCACCGAGUUCCGCGCUCUCUGCUACUUCAUUGAAUCCAGAUGCGGAAACUAAAAGGCGAGUACCAUGGGAUCAUGAAGUAUAUAAAGCAAAGGAGGAGCUGUACCAUCUCCUCUCCGGCAAGAAUUUUUUUUUCGUUGGCGAUUGAACGAAUUGAAUGCAAGAUUGCAUUGUUAGAAGGACGGAGAGUGGAACACCAGCUGUAGUUUCUCAGAUCCCACCUUCUCAACUUGAUUCCCUGUUUGCAUUCGCCAUUCUCAACAAGCACCAGGACAUGGCUUUGGUUCUGCACAAACAAUAUCUUCAGGUGAUUUUUUGCUCAAUCGAGGCCGUAGUGCACAACCACUGUUGCGCAUCGGGAAAAAAUGUUUCCUAAGCCCCGGGCCGCUACGGGCGCAGGCGUCGGAGCAUCGCAUCACACAAAGAGGCAGAACCUCAUAAACGCCAUCAAGGAACUACAAUCGGAGAAAGCCACAACAUUGUCCAGGUCGACGCCAAACCAGCGACUCGAACAGACGGCGUCGAUCCAGAACAACGAGGCACACAUGGCAAGGCGUCGCCGGGGAUUCGCCACAGAAGAAAACGGUGAUCUAUGCCGGCGCAGAGCAGCGGACGAUACGGUGGUCGACGGCAGCAUUUACUAGGGAUAGUGAAAUGGGGAACAUGAAUAGAGAUAGUGUGUGCAGUUCGUCUUGCAACGAUGGUGUCUUCUUGUUUGUGUAGGCCAAGUCCUUAUGUUUGGGCCAAGCCCAAAUAGUGAAAAGAAAAAUUGAAAAUAAUAUUUAUUUUUUC